UGUUUACUUGUAUGAUGAAGAAUAUGUUGGUAGGGACAUCUGAGAAAAUCUGAUGAAUGCCAACAUUUCUGACAUGUAGCA
ensembl:snoRNA